CCCGGCUAACUACGUGCCAGCAGCCGCGGUAAUACGUAGGGGGCUAGCGUUAUCCGGAUUUACUGGGCGUAAAGGGUGCGUAGGCGGUCUUUCAAGUCAGGAGGGAAAGGCUACGGCUCAACCGUAGUAAGCUCUUGAAACUGGGAGACUUGAGUGCAGGAGAGGAGAGUGGAAUUCCUAGUGUAGCGGUGAAAUGCGUAGAUAUUAGGAGGAAC
rnacentral:rRNA from 1 species